GUCCUCACAUUGGAGAUAUUCGAUAAAAUUGGAACGAUAUAGAGAAGAUUAGCAUGGCUCCUGCGCAAGGAUGUCAUGCACAAAUUGAGAUAUGGUCCAAAAUUUU